rnacentral:rRNA from 1 species
CAAUAGCGUAUAUUUAAGUUGUUGCAGUUAAAAAGCUCGUAGUUGGAUUUCGGAUGGGAUUUGCCGGUCCGUCGUUUCGAUGUGCACUGGCCAGUCCUAUCUUGUUGUCGGGGACUAGCUCCUGGGCUUCACUGUCCGGGACUAGGAGCUGACGAGGUUACUUUGAGUAAAUUAGAGUGUUCAAAGCAAGCCUACGCUCUGAAUACAUUAGCAUGGAAUAACACGAUAGGACUCUGGCUUAUCUUGUUGGUCUGUGAGACCAGAGUAAUGAUUAAGAGGGACAGUCGGGGGCAUUCGUAUUUCAUUGUCAGAGGUGAAAUUCUUGGAUUUAUGAAAGACGAACUUCUGCGAAAGCAUUUGUCAAGGAUGUUUUCAUUA